GAUGAACGCUGGCGGCGUGCCUAACACAUGCAAGUCGAACGAGAUGCGUAUCGGAAAGCUUCGGCCGGAAGAUACGUUAUCUAGUGGCGGACGGGUGAGUAACACGUGGGUAACCUGCCUUAUGGAGGGGGAUAACAGAGAGAAAUCACUGCUAAUACCGCAUAAGCACACAGUACCGCAUGGUACAGGGUGAAAAGAUUUAUCGCCAUAAGAUGGACCCGCGUCUGAUUAGCCAGUUGGCAGGGUAAAAGCCUACCAAAGCAACGAUCAGUAGCCGAUCUGAGAGGAUGACCGGCCACAUUGGGACUGAGACACGGCCCAAACUCCUACGGGAGGCAGCAGUGGGGAAUAUUGCACAAUGGGGGAAACCCUGAUGCAGCGACGCCGCGUGAGUGAAGAAGUAUUGCGGUAUGUAAAGCUCUAUCAGCAGGGAAGAUAAUGACAGUACCUGACUAAGAAUCCCCGGCUAACUACGUGCCAGCAGCCGCGGUAAUACGUAGGGGGCAAGCGUUAUCCGGAUUUACUGGGUGUAAAGGGAGCGUAGACGGAAUGGCAAGUCUGAAGUGAAAUACCCGGGCUCGACCUGGGAACUGCUUUGGAAACUGUUGUUCUAGAGUGUUGGAUAGGUAAGUGGAAUUCCUGGGUGUAGCGGUGAAAUGCGUAGAGAUCAGGAAAGAACACCGGAGGCGAUGGGGGCUUACUGGAUGUGUGACUGACUGUUGAGGUGUGCGAGAGUGGGGGAUCUGACUGUGAUUAUAUUCCCUGGUAGUGCCUAUGUCGGGUUCCUUAUUGGAUGUGAGUGGUGUAGGUGUCGUGCGAGCGCUGGGGCGGAAAACAAGAAAAAAAAUAUGUAUGUCCCUGUGGGUUGUCUAGUUUGUGUGCUUGCUGCUGUGCUAUAAGAUGGCGUUUGAUGUGUGGAGUGUGUGUAUGUGGUUUGGGCCUUCC
rnacentral:rRNA from 1 species